rnacentral:rRNA from 1 species
AGAGUUUGAUCCUGGCUCAGGAUGAAUGCUAGCGGUAGGCAUAACACAUGCAAGUCGAGGGGCAGCUGGUUUGGUAGCAAUACUGAAUGUCAGGCGACCGGCGGAUGGGUGAGUAACGCGUACGCAACCUACCUUGUACAGUGGGAUAGACACUGGAAACGGUGCGUAAUACCACGUAAUAAUAUAGAUAGGCAUCUAUUUAUAUGGGAAGGGUACGUAAGUAUUGGUAUAAGAUGGGCGUGCGUAGGAUUAGAUAGAUGGUGGGGUAACGGCUUACCAUGUCGACGAUCUUUAGGGGUUCUGAGAGGAAGGUCCCCCACAUUGCAACUGAGAACGGUGCAAACUCCUACGGGAGGCAGCAGUGAGGAAUAUUGGUCAAUGGGCGGAAGCUUGAACCAGCCAUACCGCGUGCAGGAAGGCGGCCUUAUGGGUUGUAAACUGCUUUUAUAAUGGGAUAGUGAUUAUAUCGUGCAUAUGAUAGGGAAGGUACAUUAUGAAUAAGUAUCGGCUAACUCCGUGCCAGCAGCCGCGGUAAUACGGAGGAUACGAGCGUUGUCCGGAUUUAUUGGGUUUAAAGGGUGCGUAGGCGGUUGAUUAGGUCUAUGGUGAAAUGGUUGUGCUCAACACAAUUUAGCUGUAGAAACCGGUCGGCUAGAAUAUAAGUGGCGUAGGCGGAAUAAAGCGUGUAGAGGUGACAUUCAUAGAUAUGCUUUAGAACACCGUUCGCGAAGGCGGCUUACGAAGGUAAAAUUGACGCUAAUGCACGAGAGCGUGGGUAUCGAACAGAAUUAGAUACUCUGGUAGUCCACGCUGUAAACGAUGAUAACUAUAUGUCGGCGAUAGAAUGUCGGUGUAGAAGUGAAAGCGAUAAGUUAUCCACCUGGGGAGUACGAUCGCAAGGUUGAAACUCAAAGGAAUUGACGGGGGCCCGCACAAGCGGUGGAUUAUGUGGUUUAAUUCGAAGCAACGCGAAGAACCUUACCAGGUCUUGACAUCCUGCUAACGAAGUAGAGAUACAUUAGGUGCCCUUCGGGGAAAGCAGAGACAGGUGGUGCAUGGUUGUCGUCAGCUCGUGUCGUGAGAUGUUGGGUUAAGUCCCGCAGCGAGCGCAACCCCUAUUGUUAGUUGCUACGCAAGAGCACUCUAGCGAGACUGCCGUUGACAAAACGGAGGAAGGUGGGGACGACGUCAAAUCAUCAUGCCCCUUAUGACCUGGGCUACACACGUAAUACAAUGGCGGUCAACAAAGGGAUGCAAAGCCGCGAGGCAGAGCGAACCCCAAAAAGCCGUCCCAGUUCGGAUCGCAGGCUGCAACUCGCCUGCGUGAAGUCGGAAUCGCUAGUAAUCGUGGGUCGGCAUACCACGGUGAAUACGUUCCCGGGCCUUGCACUCAACGCCCGUCAAG